AGCUCUCUCACUCCUCACUGAGUCCACUCUGAACGUGCUAAAAUGGGAAGGAGGCGGUGUUUUGCUGAUCUGCUAAAUUCUUAGUGAAGUUUCCUUGAUUUCCAGUGGCUGCUGUUGUUUGAGUUUGGUUUGGAGCAAAACUGAGGUAGUCCUAACAUUUCUGGGACUGAAUCCAGGCAAGAGAAAGAAGAAAAAGAGGAGGAAAAAGCCUGGAAAACAUAUUAAUCCCAGUGCUUUUACGCCCGGAAACAAAGAGACUAAGCCAGACUGUGGGGGAAAGGGAGAUAAGAAGGAUCCUGGAACUUUAAAGAGGGAAAGAGUGAGAUUCAGAAAUCGCCAGGACUGGAAUUUAAGGGACGUCCUGUGUCGGCACAAGGGACUGGCACACACAGACACAAGAGACCGAGGAGAAACUGCAGACAAAUGGAGAUACAAAGACUUAGAAGGACAGCUCCUUUCACCUCAUCCUACUUGUCCAGAAGGUAGAAAGACACAGCCAGAAAGAAAAGGCAUCGGCUCAGCUCUCAGAUCAGGACAGGCUGUGGAUCUGUGGCGGUACUCUGAAGGCUGGAGCUGCAGCACACCCCUUUUGUAUUGCUCACCCUCGGUAAAGA
rnacentral:sRNA from 1 species